AGCUGUUCUCCACACUACCAUUGGAACAGAGGCUAUAGAGUGUUCUGCCAGAGAAAUUGUAGAGUCUUUACAGAAUACAGAAAUUAACAGGUAUGCAAAGAUACACCACUUAACUUAAGUGAUUAAGUUGCAUUGUACUGCAAUGCACCCUACUUUGAUAUUGUACUCUGUCUAUGCCAGACGAUUUUAAUUUAAUUUAAUUUAUCUAAGGCAAGUUCUGUUGGAAGUCCUAGAAGUGAUUUUGGCUGAGGUGUUUCCGGAGUUGAUGGACGAAAAAGACUCUUAUUUGUCUUCAAGAAAUUGUUAAAGCUUGUAAAUUAAAUGUGAAGUAAAAUGAUUUUAUGCUCAUGUCUGGAAAGUAUAUUGAGAUACUGCAGGCUAACGUGCCAAUUUGUG